CACCUUUCCAGUGCGGGCGAAGGCCUCGGCCACCUUGCGGUUCCGCCCUCCGUAGCAGGUAGUGAUGAGAUCAGCAACACCACAGCUCUCCAAGAAGGUGGCAGAGGACACAGGGCCACUGCAGAAGAGCUUGGUGAAGGCGAUCAUCUCCAUGAGCCCCAGUCGGAUCACGGCCGCCUUGGUGUUGUCGCCAAAGCCCAGCCCAUCACAGAAGCCAGCCCCCACGGCCACUAUAUUCUUUGAAGAGUGAAGUCAUGGGUCUGUCCAGGAUCCAGUUCUGGCCAUCAAUCUGUCUGGGUGUCCUGGACAUCUUAUCUCCCAUUAGCCUGAGUGCUCCCCCAGGGCAUCUCCUCUUCCCCCUGGACCAACCUUUGGAGCCAGGGACAGGGAUGUCCCACAGAGGGCUAUAGGGGAAAGGAAGAAGGAAGCCCAAUGUCUGAUGGUCCUCCCCUAUUCCAAUGCAGCCAAAGCUUGCUGUGAGGAGAGCAGAUAACAUGUGAAAACGAAUCCAUCUGAAAACUCCCCUUCCACAACCUACUUCUCCAAGGUAACGUAGCCCCUCCACAUCCCUAAACAGCCCACUCCUGAGUACCCCAAACCAACUUCCAUCCCAGCCACUGCUCCAAACCAGCUUCCCUUCUCAGCUCCUCAAACCAGCCCACUUCUUGUAUCCCCUAGGCAUCCCCUGUACACCUCCUAAACUCCCCAAGACAUCUGCCUCCAAACCGAUCUCUUAUCUACUCCCCAACCAACCUCCCCUUCCCAAUGGCCCCCCGCAUCUGUUUCUCAAGCCUCCCCAAAGCCAGCUCCUCUCUUCAGAAAACUCCUGGCCUACUUCUGCUGUUUUCUGUUUGUCGCACUUCACCCACCCUGAGCCCCACAGCAGUUAGCUGCACCCCCAUCCACAGGAAGGUGUCCCUGGCA